UGCAGUCGAGCGAGCAAGUUAAGGAAUACUUCGGUAGGAAUUUAAUAGCGCGAGCGGCGGAUGGGUGAGUAACACGUGGGCAACCUGCCCUUUAGCUUCCGAUACCACUUGGAAACAGGUGCUAAUACCAAAUAAGAAGUAAGAGCGCAUGCUCAAGCUAUCGAAAGGCGGCUUUCGAGCUGUCACUAAAGGAUGGGCCCGCGGUGCAUUAGCUAGUUGGUAAGGUAACGGCUUACCAAGGCAAUGAUGCAUAGCCGAGUUGAGAGACUGAUCGGCCACAUUGGGACUGAGACACGGCCAAACUCCUACGGGAGGCAGCAGUAGGGAAUCUUCCACAAUGGACCAAGUCUGAUGGAGCAACGCCGCGUGAGUGAAGAAGGUUUUCGGAUCGUAAAGCUUGUUGUUGGUGAAGAAGGACAUGGGUAGUAACUGAUCUAUGUUUGACGGUAAUCAAACCAGAAAGUCACGGCUAACUACGUGCCAGCAGCCCUAACUACGUGCCAGCAGCCGCGGUAAUACGUAGGUGGCAAGCGUUGUCCGGAUUUAUUGGGCGUAAAGCGAACGCAGGCGGGAGAACAAGUCAGCUGUGAAAGCCCUCGGCUUAACCGAGGAACGGCAACUGAAACUGUUUUUCUUGAGUGCAGAAGAGGAGAGUGGAA
rnacentral:rRNA from 1 species